AAGGCUGAGACGGACGGCUGGGCGGAGACAGAGAUGGUGAUGCGCUCUCGAGUCCCGCCGGCUGGUCGGGGAAAUUGCAUUUGUCAAGUCUUCUCGGAGCUAGCGGCGGUUGCAUUUGUCUCGGUCCCUUUCUCACUGGUACUGUCUGUCUCAAGCUUCAGUUCUUCCGAGUGGUUCCAGCGGUGGCGAAAGAGAUGGCGGCGGACGCCAGCGAGCCUUCGCGGCAGACCCGGUGACCGGAGGGUGCGGCGGUUAUUUUGGUGGCGGCGCGGCCCGCGGCGAGGGAGGCCCUCAGGCCGGUCGUCGCGUGGGCGCUGACGCACGUCGUGAAGCACGGCGACUCCAUCCCGCUCCUCCUCGUCAUGGCUGUCUACUUCUGUUACGGGAUGGCCUCUGUUACGCCCCUCCUCCUCCUCCUCACCGUCCCAAAACGCUCACUCCCAUGUCCUGCAGUCUUUUUCAGAAGGUAGUUUGCAGCAGCCAUAAUUAGGUCGAUACAUGACAUGGAGAGCAUAAUAUGAGAUUGCUUGCACUGACAGCUAGAAGAUCAUGUCUUAUCAGCCCCUGGAUCAACUUUGGUCAUAUGGCUGAUAUUUAGCCUGAACUUCAUUUUUGUUUCAUCUCUUUUUAGUUGUAAGGAACAACAGAUAGUAACAAGAAAAUUAGUGUAGGCUAGCAUUUGGCAUUUUUAGUCUAGUAGCUGUAAGUGUACUUAGUCAGAAUGGACAAAGGCACCGGUGAUCUGAUAUCAUUCAGCAUUUUUGUUGUGUUUUAAUUCAGGCCCAAAAAGCCUUUACGAGCAGUUUGGGAUCCAAUCGUUUUUUUCCUUUUUCCAGUAAUACACGUGCCAGCGUACUAAUCCAAAUAAAAUCUGACUGUUGCCAAUUAGAAAAACAGGCAGCUGUCAAUUGGACACUCCAAGCAAUGAACUGGAAUUAUAGAGUACACGGGCGAUUUUAAGAUUAGGUUUUGACGUGGCCGGCAUCUACGAACACACGAGUGACCAAAACGUGAAGCGCUCCUCUCGACAGUAGCCCACCGCGCCGGGGAGAAGGUCGCUUCGCCUUCACAGCUUCACUCCUCUACUCCGCCGCUCCCAUGGCGAUUACCAGGCCCCGAAGCCGCGCCGCCCCCCUCGUCCCGUUUCUCCUUCUCAUCCUCCUCGCUCCGCUAAUCUCUCCCUUUCCAGGCUACGGUUGAGCUGGGCGCCGGACUGGCCCUGAACCUGGACCAUCCUGCUGUGCUGAAUAGGCCUGACCGUCUUGUGCUUCGCCCCGCCGCCGGCCAGGGCCGCCCCGACCGCCUACAGUGCCAUGGACUUAAAGCUGUGAAGAAGAUUAUUUUAUCAAGUUAAUGAACACAUCAUGUGAAUUGCUUCAUACUGGGUCAUCUGAUGUUGUAACUAUUGGAGAGCAUUCUUAUAGCAAGGAUGGAAGGUCCAUGGCCAUUCUUAACACUUUCAUCCAUUUCAUACAGUUUCCGGGCUGCGGUUGAGCUGAGCGCUGGAGCGGGUCCUGAACCUGGACCGUCCUACUGCGCUGAAUCUGCCUGAUCGCCUCGUGCUCGGCCCUGCCGCUGGCAGGGCCACCACGACCGCCUACAGUGCCAUGGUUUCUCCUUUUGCUUCCAUACUCCUGUCAGUUUCUCGCAUUUUUAGGUGCUGACAAGCUGAGUUGGCCCCUUGAAAUACAUGUUCACUCUUGUUCAAAAAAUCCACGCGUGACAUUGUGACAUUAAUUUGACUGUGUUAUGUGCUCUCUCUGCUGUAGCUACUUGACUGUUGCAUAGUGUAGAUCGCGAUUCACACUAUCAAUGUAUUCACCAUAAUGUGGCUCUUGUAUGUAAAUUCUAACUGUAUUGGCCAAGUAUGAAGCAAUUCCUAGAAAACCAGAAUGAUGUUAUCGCCACCUGAAGAUUUUUUUUUAACAUACUGUGGAUAACAUAAACUUAUUAUUAACCACGGUCUAUGAUGUUCUGUAAUAUUUGUUCUAUAGAAGCAGUUAUCUCUCACCAUCUCUGUGUAUCAAAUUAUCAAUUAAUAACAAAGGCCAACCUUUGAACUCUGGGUCUGUAGUGGUCAGAAGGACCAGUGAUGGCAUCUCCAAGGCUAUGGAAUUCUUCAGAGAAGCCCUUGAAGCAACGCAAAAUAUAUGAAGGCUUCCCGCAUGCUAGGCGAUCAGUUAGCACUGGCACGGGUUGCGAAAUCUUAUCUACCAUAUGCGGUUGGAAAAAUUUCCAGGCAUGAGGCAUUUACAGGUGAAGUCAAUUGAGCAUCUAUAUUCUUUCUGCCUUGUGCAGUUUAUAAUUGGGCUCCACCUUUGGGUGCUGGACAGUUUCAUGGUAUGCCCUUGGAUAUUAAGGUACACCAUCUUUCCAACUUGUAGGGAACUUAUUUGAUCCAGGUCCUUUUCUUGAUACAUUAUUAUUUUUGUUUAAACAAUUGUAACUUGUACAGUUAUAUAUAUUUAUGGUUACCAACACACUGUAAUUUUCGCUGUUGCUUGUUUGAUGGGUGUUAUGAUGUUCUUACUCGUCCAUUUCAAAGGUUCAAAGAAAGCCGAUGCUUGAGGCAUGGAAUUUCUACAGCUUGACAUCUCAGUUGUCUGAUAUCUUUUGCCUAAUAUUGAAGACUGGCAGAACGAAAUAUGACUUCUGAAGGCUUGCUCCACAAUGAAGCUCUGCUUGCUCCCGACCUUUGUGCCGCGAUGAAUCUGUGCUGGCAGAAUUAUAGUUGUACAUCACAUGCACUCAGGUUGUCAGGUGGCGCACAAUGAAAACAGCGUGAUUCAGAAUGCGGCGAGAGUUUGCUCGGGCACAUGAGGUGACUUAAGGAGAUUGGUGUACGAGCAGCACACGUAAUACUAGCUAACGGAGUAAUCUUGCGGGAAAUCACCAGUUGUUUUGGUGUUCUUUUGGUCGGUCUGUGACCUUUCAUGUAACAGCUUGUGUCUCUGUGUGUAUUGGAUUUUAACGUUUCAAUAUAAUGCAUAUCAAAUGAUGUUUGUUAUCUUCA